CCUACGGGGGGCAGCAGUGAGGAAUAUUGGUCAAUGGGCGAGAGCCUGAACCAGCCAAGUCGCGUGAGGGAGGACGGCCCUACGGGUUGUAAACCUCUUUUGCCGGGGGACAAACGGCGGCACGCGUGCCGUCCUGAGGGUACCCGGAGAAAAAGCAUCGGCUAACUCCGUGCCAGCAGCCGCGGUAAUACGGAGGAUGCGAGCGUUAUCCGGAUUUACUGGGGGUAAAGGGCGUGUAGGCGGGACUGCAAGUCAGAUGGGAAAACCACGGGCUCAACCUGGGG
rnacentral:rRNA from 1 species